ACUAUGCUUUACCCGAUGCCUCAGGCCUUGAUCACGAACAUCCUUCACAUAUAAAAUACUUCGGGGCAUUCCUCGAUGAGUAAAUACAAGUGACCUCGAGGCAUUCCUUCGCAAAAUGAAUACAUCUUUUCAAUGCGAUAAAACUAAACCAUUCAACAAAAUUUCAAACAUUCAACUAAUCCACAAAUUCUAAACUUUGCCUACCCAACCUACGUUUGCCUACCUCACUCGACUUAUCAUGAUACUAACAAGUUUGAUUAACGUUCAUCUCAAGUCAAACAAUAAUUCAUGAAUCAAACUUACCAAAUGUUACCUUUUUGGCAAGUUUCAAUUCCACCUCCCAAUUUCUUUUUUUUUUAAUUCUUAACGAGAUAUCAUUUCAUUACAUAAUCUAUAAACAGACAAAGAAUCGAAACCAACAACUAUUCAUCAUAAACAAUAAUCAACCAACACAUAAUAUUUCAUUCAAUGAACCGAAUAUCACAAAUAAUGAAAUAAAAAGGGAAAGAGAGUAGAAUUAGACCUCAAUCUGACGUUCUAUUUCAAUUAACUGAUCUUUUCGAAUAGAACCGCGUCCAAAUAGAACCUCAACAUCGAACCACAAUCACGAACCCAAAUCAAAAACUUCGAUCUAGAACUCCAAUUUACUCAGACUUGCUUUCGAGCAAGGCUCCACGAAGAACAAAUGAAAACAAAAUCAAAAUCAAGGCUCCGAACUGGAACAAACCAGAAACCUGUAUGAUUGUUUCCAGAUGAGAAGUAACCAAAGUCGGCCUAAAAAAUGAUCAAUUCAAAUCAGUGCGGACCAUAAUUAAACAUUUUCCGGUGAAAGAAUGCUAUUUUUUGGCCAAGAAGCUGGAAUGGUCAUCCCCAAUCCCUUUUCUCUCCUCUCUCUCCCAAUAUCACUCUCUCGCAGCUCGGUCUUUAUCACUCUAUCUCUCUCUGCCUUCUCGAAUCUCUCUCUCUACCUCUCUCAAUCUAUCUCUUUUUGUUUUUCAGCUCUCACUCGUGGAGAAGAAAACAAAAAAGGACUGGUGGAAAAGAAAAGAAAAUGGCGUGAAUCACUCUUCUUCCCUAUUGAUAGCCCUCGUGAAGAAGAUGAAUUGUGAACUCUCACUCUUCUCCCUCUUCCUCUCGCAUCUCUCUCUCCUACCUCCUCCUCCCUUGCAGCUUUCUGUGUGUAUAUAUUGUUUUUCCUAGUCCCCGAAAGCUGCCAGGAAAUUUCCCUUUUAUUUUUAGUUUUCUUUUUCCUUAUUAUUUCUUUGUGGUCAAGAAAUGUGAGGGAGUGGGGUCACGUGGGUGCGGGGUGUGGUAGUAGGUGAGGUGUAAGUUUUUAAUUGCAGGGGUAGGGGUUAGGUGUCCAUUUUUUAUUGGGUGGGUUGUUGGAAUUAUAAAGAUAGGACAAAAUUAGUUAGGUUUGUUAAAUGGGAUAAAAAAAAAAGAGUGAAAAGAUGAGGUGAUUAUUUAUUUUCUUGAGGAAAAAUUACUACGCGUAUAGGGUACGUAGUAAAUGGGGUAAACGCUAAAAUUUGUGAAGGAAUGAAAUUACGUGUCUACAAGAGCAAUUUAAAACAGCUCAUAAACAUAUCAUAUGGUAAGUGUUUUGACGAAAUUUUAAAUUUAAGAGAAGAGUCUCCACUUAAUUUUGAAAAGAAAUUAAAAAACCUUUAUAAAUACUUUAAACGAUCCAAAACAGGAAAAUCAUUUAAGAAAGAGAUUCUAAGUAAGUGAUUCCUAUUAACGUUUUAGGAAGGUGUUAGGCACCUAAAACGUCCGCUAACUUGCGGUUAUCCGAAAUGUUUGAAAAUCGUCUUUUGAUUAUCUUCGAAAAGAUUAAUUUUGUCAAAAAUUAAUAGAUUUUUUGGAAAGAAAGCGAUUUUGAAAAUAUUUUGGUGUUUAUGCAAAACUAGUUUCUUAGCGACUUAACUAAGGAUUUAACUAGGUUCGCAAAGUACAUAAGAAAAACAAACAUAAAGAACAGGGGGAGGGGAGGAAGUAAGGGAUUUAGGCCAUUGGCCCAAAUCAACAAAACCUAUCC
rnacentral:lncRNA from 1 species